rnacentral:rRNA from 1 species
AGUGAACGCUGGCGGUAGGCCUAACACAUGCAAGUCGAACGGCAGCACAGUAAGAGCUUGCUCUUACGGGUGGCGAGUGGCGGACGGGUGAGGAAUACAUCGGAAUCUACUUUUUCGUGGGGGAUAACGUAGGGAAACAUACGCUAAUACCGCAUACGACCUACGGGUGAAAGCAGGGGAUCUUCGGACCUUGCGCGAGUGAAUGAGCCGAUGUCGGAUUAGCUAGUUGGCGGGGUAAAGGCCCACCAAGGCGACGAUCCGUAGCUGGUCUGAGAGGAUGAUCAGCCACACUGGAACUGAGACACGGUCCAGACUCCUACGGGAGGCAGCAGUGGGGAAUAUUGGACAAUGGGCGCAAGCCUGAUCCAGCCAUACCGCGUGGGUGAAGAAGGCCUUCGGGUUGUAAAGCCCUUUUGUUGGGAAAGAAAAGCAGCAGGUUAAUACCCCGCUGUUCUGACGGUACCCAAAGAAUAAGCACCGGCUAACUUCGUG